GAUGAACGCUGGCGGCGUGCCUAACACAUGCAAGUCGAACGAAGAGGCCCCUUCGGGGGCACUUCAGUGGCGGACGGGUGAGUAACACGUAGGUAACCUGCCCCGAAGUGGGGAAUAACGGUCCGAAAGGACCGCUAAUACCCCAUGUGAUCGCAAGAUUAAAGCCCCCUUCGGGGAGCGCUUCGGGAGGGGCCUGCGGCCCAUCAGCUUGUUGGUAGGGUAACGGCCUACCAAGGCGACGACGGGUAGGGGACCUGAGAGGGUGACCCCCCACACUGGCACUGACAUACGGGCCAGACUCCUACGGGAGGCAGCAGUGAGGAAUAUUGGUCAAUGGGCGAAAGCUUGAACCAGCAACGCCGCGUGGAUGAUGAAGGCCUUCGGGUCGUAAAAUCCUUUUCUGGGGGACGAGUAAGGACGGUACCCCAGGAAUAAGUACCGGCUGACUACGUGCCAGCCGCCGCGGUAA
rnacentral:rRNA from 1 species